rnacentral:lncRNA from 1 species
UUUUCUCAACUUAGAAAAGCCAUAACUAAUUGAAAAAUGCAUCAAUUCAUCUCCAAUUCUUUUCUACUUGUUCCUUGGUUUAUCUGGUUUUUUAUCAUGAUGAUUUCCAAAAUUGUGCAUGGCUGGAUUUUAUUUGGUGCUAGGUUAUGUGAUCAUGUAUCCAUUUGUGACCUUGCCUUGCUUAUCUUAUUGUGAAAUGCUUGUUUCUAAUCCAAUGAACUUGAAAUUUUGCAUGUUGAUUCUAGACACAUUGAUGGACAUUUUGGUUUUAGUUUGACAUUUUUC